rnacentral:rRNA from 1 species
CAAGUCGAGCGAGUGUACGAGAAGCUUGCUUCUCUGAUUUAGCGGCGGACGGGUGAGUAACACGUGGGCAACCUGCCCUACAGAUCGGGAUAACUCAGGGAAACCUGGGCUAAUACCGGAUAAUCCUUCGAAUCACAUGUUUUGAAGUUGAAAGGCGCUUCGGCGUCACUGUAGGAUGGGCCCGCGGUGCAUUAGCUAGUUGGUGGGGUAACGGCCUACCAAGGCAACGAUGCAUAGCCGACCUGAGAGGGUGAUCGGCCACAUUGGGACUGAGACACGGCCCAAACUCCUACGGGAGGCAGCAGUAGGGAAUCUUCCACAAUGGACGAAAGUCUGAUGGAGCAACGCCGCGUGAGUGAUGAAGGUUUUCGGAUCGUAAAACUCUGUUGUAAGGGAAGAACAAGUACGUUAGGAAAUGAACGUACCUUGACGGUACCUUAUUAGAAAGCCACGGCUAACUACGUGCCAGCAGCCGCGGUAAUACGUAGGUGGCAAGCGUUGUCCGGAUUUAUUGGGCGUAAAGCGCGCGCAGGUGGUUUCUUAAGUCUGAUGUGAAAGCCCACGGCUCAACCGUGGAGGGUCAUUGGAAACUGGGGAACUUGAGUGCAGAAGAGGAUAGUGGAAUUCCAAGUGUAGCGGUGAAAUGCGUAGAGAUUUGGAGGAACA